AGAAAAUGUCCAUUUCCAACUCAGCUAUCCAACAUCUGCUGACUCCAUGCUUUGUACAUCUGCCAAAUUAAUCUUCCUAAAUAGAACCUGCAUUGUGUCAGUCUGUAUUGGAACACUCCCAAGUCACUGCAAUGUCCAUAAUAAAACAAAAUUCAAGAUCUGCCGCAAGAUUGGAGUGCAGUGGUGUGAUCAUAGCUCAGUACAGCUUCGAACUCCUUGGCUCAACUGACCCUUCCACCUCACCCUUCCUAGCAGCUUGGACUACAGGCAUGUACCACAACAC
rnacentral:lncRNA from 10 species